GGGCUGGGGAGGCCUUACACAUGCAGUCGAGCGGAGAGAGGUAGCUUGCUACUGAUCUUAGCGGCGGACGGGUGAGUAAUGCUUAGGAAUCUGCCUAUUAGUGGGGGACAACAUUUCGAAAGGAAUGCUAAUACCGCAUACGUCCUACGGGAGAAAGCAGGGGAUCUUCGGACCUUGCGCUAAUAGAUGAGCCUAAGUCGGAUUAGCUAGUUGGUGGGGUAAAGGCCUACCAAGGCGACGAUCUGUAGCGGGUCUGAGAGGAUGAUCCGCCACACUGGGACUGAGACACGGCCCAGACUCCUACGGGAGGCAGCAGUGGGGAAUAUUGGACAAUGGGCGCAAGCCUGAUCCAGCCAUGCCGCGUGUGUGAAGAAGGCCUUAUGGUUGUAAAGCACUUUAAGCGAGGAGGAGGCUACUUUAGUUAAUACCUAGAGAUAGUGGACGUUACUCGCAGAAUAAGCACCGGCUAACUCUGUGCCAGCAGCCGCGGUAAUACAGAGGGUGCAAGCGUUAAUCGGAUUUACUGGGCGUAAAGCGCGCGUAGGCGGCUAAUUAAGUCAAAUGUGAAAUCCCCGAGCUUAACUUGGGAAUUGCAUUCGAUACUGGUUAGCUAGAGUGUGGGAGAGGAUGGUAGAAUUCCAGGUGUAGCGGUGAAAUGCGUAGAGAUCUGGAGGAAUACCGAUGGCGAAGGCAGCCAUCUGGCCUAACACUGACGCUGAGGUGCGAAAGCAUGGGGAGCAAACAGGAUUAGAUACCCUGGUAGUCCAUGCCGUAAACGAUGUCUACUAGCCGUUGGGGCCUUUGAGGCUUUAGUGGCGCAGCUAACGCGAUAAGUAGACCGCCUGGGGAGUACGGUCGCAAGACUAAAACUCAAAUGAAUUGACGGGGGCCCGCACAAGCGGUGGAGCAUGUGGUUUAAUUCGAUGCAACGCGAAGAACCUUACCUGGCCUUGACAUAGUAAGAACUUUCCAGAGAUGGAUUGGUGCCUUCGGGAACUUACAUACAGGUGCUGCAUGGCUGUCGUCAGCUCGUGUCGUGAGAUGUUGGGUUAAGUCCCGCAACGAGCGCAACCCUUUUCCUUAUUUGCCAGCGAGUAAUGUCGGGAACUUUAAGGAUACUGCCAGUGACAAACUGGAGGAAGGCGGGGACGACGUCAAGUCAUCAUGGCCCUUACGGCCAGGGCUACACACGUGCUACAAUGGUCGGUACAAAGGGUUGCUACCUAGCGAUAGGAUGCUAAUCUCAAAAAGCCGAUCGUAGUCCGGAUUGGAGUCUGCAACUCGACUCCAUGAAGUCGGAAUCGCUAGUAAUCGCGGAUCAGAAUGCCGCGGUGAAUACGUUCCCGGGCCUUGUACACACCGCCCGUCACACCAUGGGAGUUUGUUGCACCAGAAGUAGCUAGCCUAACUGCAAAGAGGGCGGUUACCAUCGGGGCGAACAU
rnacentral:rRNA from 1 species